rnacentral:rRNA from 1 species
UACGAAGGGCGCUAGCGUUGUUCGGAAUCACUGGGCGUAAAGCGCACGUAGGCGGCUUUGCCAGUCAGGGGUGAAAUCCCGGGGCUCAACCUCGGAACUGCCUUUGAUACAGCAAGUCUUGAGUUCGAGAGAGGUGGGUGGAAUUCCUAGUGUAGAGGUGAAAUUCGUAGAUAUUAGGAAGAACACCGGUGGCGAAGGCGGCCCACUGGUCCGGUACUGACGCUGAGGUGCGAAAGCGUGGGGAGCAAACAGG